rnacentral:rRNA from 1 species
UAGGGAAUCUUCGGCAAUGGGGGGAACCCUGACCGAGCAACGCCGCGUGAGUGAAGAAGGUUUUCGUAUCGUAAAGCUCUGUUGUUAAGGAAGAACGAGUGUGAGAAUGGAAAGUUCAUGCUGUGACGGUACUUAACCAGAAAGGGACGGCUAACUACGUGCCAGCAGCCGCGGUAAUACGUAGGUCCCGAGCGUUGUCCGGAUUUAUUGGGCAUAAAGCGAGCGCAGGCGGUUAGAUAAGUCUGAAGUUAAAGGCAGUGGCUCAACCAUUGUAGGCUUUGGAAACUGUUUAGCUUGAGUGCAGAAGGGGAGAGUGGAAUUCCAUGUGUAGCGGUGAAAUGCGUAGAUAUAUGGAGGAACACCGGUGGCGAAAGCGGCUCUCUGGUCUGUAACUGACGCUGAGGCUCGAAAGCGUGGGGAGCGAACAGG